AGGGUUUGAUUAUGGCUCAGGAUGAACGCUGGCGGCGUGCUUAACACAUGCAAGUCGAACGAACCUUCGGGUUAGUGGCGGACGGGUGAGUAACGCGCGAGAAUCUGCCCUCAGGAGGGGGAUAACGGUUGGAAACGACCGCUAAUACCCCAUAUGCCUAUUGGUGAAAUGAAUUUCGCCUGAGGAUGAGCUCGCGUCUGAUUAGCUAGUUGGUGUGGUAAUGGCUCACCAAGGCUUCGAUCAGUAGCUGGUCUGAGAGGAUGAUCAGCCACACUGGGACUGAGACACGGCCCAGACUCCUACGGGAGGCAGCAGUGGGGAAUUUUCCGCAAUGGGCGAAAGCCUGACGGAGCAACGCCGCGUGAGGGACGAAGGCCUCUGGGCUGUAAACCUCUUUUCUCAAGGAAGAAGAUAUGACGGUACUUGAGGAAUAAGCCACGGCUAAUUCCGUGCCAGCCGCCGCGGUAAUAC
rnacentral:rRNA from 1 species